CUGCAACUCGACUACAUGAAGCUGGAAUCGCUAGUAAUCGCGAAUCAGAAUGUCGCGGUGAAUACGUUCCCGGGUCUUGUACACACCGCCCGUCACACCAUGGGAGUCGGAUAUGCCCGAAGUCAGUGACCCAACCAUAUGGAGGGAGCUGCCGAAGGUGGAGCCGAUAACUGGGGUGAAGUCGUAACAAGGUAAC
rnacentral:rRNA from 1 species